ACGCUCAUUUCGAAAAAAGAGGGUUUGAGGGGGAAGAGAAUGCUAGAAGCGAAGAGCUUGCGGAAGGCGGCCGUGCCGCCGUCGCUCCUCGGCGAUCCGUCGCCAGGCAACAUCCAAGCCACUCGCCUCGCCCUACACGUUAACGAUGGAGGUUCUUCCUGCUCUGUAUACAUCGCUUCCGGAUGCAGCGUCUACAAGAUCGAGAUAUCCAUGGAAGAUUCUAUUAUAACUACAGGAAAAGAAAGCCUUCUCAUUCCUGUUAAUGCAGAGGUUAAACAUUCAUCGAUCGUUGACCGUUGUCCUCAUCGUUCAGAGGUCCAAAGUGUAGCGCUUACGCAAGGAGACGAUAAUUGCCUUAUUAUGGGUUCUGUAGAUUGUUAUGGUCAUCUUAUUGUAUCAUGGUUGGAUGCACUUGGUUCAGACAUUGACAGGAUUUCUUAUUCAGUGUUGCCUCGGGAUUGUGGUAUUGGUGAAGGGAGUUGGGCUGGUGUCUGCUUUAGUCCAGUGCAGUGGUCCACAGUAGCAGUUGCCCGCAGCUUUUGCAAAAGUAUUGAUAUUUAUGAUCAAGAUAUUCACAUUAGGAGUUUACACACAUUGUGGUAUCCAGCUUCAUUGACCUUCUUCAGUAAUCCAUAUUACGAAGGAUGCCCCUCUGUACUAGCUGUUACUGAAGGCUCACAGUUGUCUGUCUGGGACUUGAGGACCAACCAAAAUGGUGGAUGUGUACAACGUGUUUGUGGCUCCGUUGGAGACCUCAUGUAUGCCCUGUGUAGUUCACCUUCUGGAGCAAUUGCUGUUGGUGGGACUGAUCGUGCUGUUACCAUAUAUGAUCCUCGCAGGUGGUCAGCAGUUUCAAGAUGGGUGAACUGCUCAAAAUACGAGAUAACAGGGCUUGCUUUCUCAACUAUAAACUCUGAUUAUAUUUACGUCCAAGGUAUUGAUUAUGAGGUUACUUGUGGAGCAUGGAAGGAAAGCAAAAGGACUUUCUCAUUUAGGGGAGACUCAAACUGGUUGGGCUUUAGUAAGUGUUCAAAUGCAGAUGUUCUUGCAGGAUGGUGCGACUCUGGUAGUAUCUUUGUGGCUGAUGCUGUAGAACAGCACUAACGAAUACAGUGUAUACUGGAGGCGAGCCAGGCGAAAAAAGAAAGGAAGAGUGCUCUGAAGUUCUUAUCAAUUUAUCUGAUACACCAGUGUUAAUGACAUGUACUCUGAGGCAAGGGACAGAUCGACGCAGGAUAAAUCUUCAUGGAAGGCUCGUGUACUCGAACCAUUGUAACUGGAUAAAUUGAAACAUCUGGCAUUCGCAUCACACAUUGAUAUUUCUACCAAACUGUUGAUGAAUGCCAAGUUCGGGUUCUCUGUUUAGUCAUCCUCUCGCCCAGUGUGUUUCAAUGUUCCUUUGUGAUCGUUUAGUUGUGUAACAUAACAAAAUAUUAAAUAGUUACUGUGUAAUUUUGUAAUUCUCCAGUGAUGCUAUCUUCUAUUUAACAUUACAAAAUAUGGGAUAUUCACGUAAUUCAAAAAUCACUCUUAGAAAUUUAAA